UUAUCUCCUUAGAUUAUUUGUUUAGUCACUUUUAAUUAUAGAGAUAAUUGCGCUUUUUC
rnacentral:sRNA from 21 species